ACAGGUUGUGUUGGCUCCAGGUUUUCAGCAUUGUGCCUGCACUGAAUAAAAGCAAGCAGCUCCAGCUUCUCGGGGCUGUUCUCUGGCCACUAGAGCCAGGCAGUCACCUAGCUGCUCUUACACUACAUACAUCAGUGUCUGAGUACUGAUUUCCUCUCUUGGCCAGGGUCUGUGGGACAGACCCGGCAGGUGGGCCCUGUGUGAGGAAGGCUGCAAUGGACUGCAGUGGAACCCUCGGAAACGAAAGUGAGGUGACUGCACAGUGGGUUUUGAGGGAGAGGAAUAAAAUAUGAAUGUGUCUUCAUCAACAUUUUCACCUGGACAUCGUCUUCUAUCCAUUACCUCUUUCAAUCCCAGCACCAACCCAGGAAAGUGGGCAAGGCUGUGUCCCCUGGGAGCAGAACAGAGAAUUGGAGGACCAGCACUCGAGAGCUGAACAAGCCUGCAUGGCCAUCCAUCAUAGGUAAGAGCAGACAGUGCUCACAUGUACCCUGCACCACCCCAGGGACAAGUCCUGAUGUGGGACCCAGCACGUUCUCAUACACUGGGCUUUGGCAUGUGUGAGACUUCAGCUCGAACAGCAUGCAUGUGACACUUCUGUCCUGCUCUGCACUCCUGUGGCAGACAUCACCAAUCAAUCACAGCACUCUUCUUUCUGAUCCUGAAUUCAGCCCCAAACUCCUUGUCAAGGCAACACAUCAAUCAACAAGACACAACCAACAAAGCAACAUUAGCUUGUGAAAGAGAACCUACUUCCUAGACCAGCAUUAGAGACUCUCCAGCUCCUCCAAAUGUUGGUGCUAAAGUCAGACAGUCCUGGGUUUCACCUUCAGCUCUGUGAAUGACUAACAGGCUGGCAGUAUAUUUGUCUCUCUGAGUCUCAGUUUUCCCAUGUGUAAAGCAGGAUCACUUGCCUUCAUUGAGGGGAUUACUGAGGUAAUGUGGGUAAAGUUUAUAACAGAUAUCUGAUAACAAUUUUGGAAAGAAAUGAGAAAAUUCAUUCUACAUCCUUCUUCUCCUGGUGAUGGAUGCAGUUUAUGAAGACCCAGGA
rnacentral:lncRNA from 10 species